CUGUACAUAUAUGUAUGUGUGCAUAUAUAUGUGUGUAUAUCUAGCUCCACAUUCCCUCAGUAUACACGCGAUACAUGUGACAUAUACAAAUUAAUCAAACAU
rnacentral:miRNA from 1 species